CCUACGGGAGGCAGCAGUGAGGAAUAUUGGUCAAUGGACGAGAGUCUGACCCAGCCAAGUAGCGUGAAGGAUGACUGCCCUAUGGGUUGUAAACUUCUUUUAUAAAGGAAUAAAACGAGGCACGUGUGCCUUUUUGCAUGUACUUUAUGAAUAAGGAUCGGCUAACUCCGUGCCAGCAGCCGCGGUAAUACGGAGGAUCCGAGCGUUAUCCGGAUUUAUUGGGUUUAAAGGGAGCGUAGAUGGGUUGUUAAGUCAGUUGUGAAAGUUUGCGGCUCAACCGUAAAAUUGCAAUUGAUACUGGCAGUCUUGAGUACAGUUGAGGUAGGCGGAAUUCGUGGUGUAGCGGUGAAAUGCUUAGAUAUUACGAAGAACCCCGAUUGCGAAGGCAGCUUACUAAACUGUGACUGACAUUGAGGCUCGAAAGUGUGGGUAUCAAACAGGAUUAGAUACCCGGGUAGUC
rnacentral:rRNA from 1 species